rnacentral:rRNA from 1 species
GACGAACGCUGGCGGCGUGCUUAACACAUGCAAGUCGAACGGAAAGGCCCUUCGGGGUACUCGAGUGGCGAACGGGUGAGUAACACGUGGGUGAUCUGCCCUGCACUUUGGGAUAAGCCUGGGAAACUGGGUCUAAUACCGAAUAUGAUCAUCGGCUUCAUGGUCGGUGGUGGAAAGCUUUUGCGGUGUGGGAUGGGCCCGCGGCCUAUCAGCUUGUUGGUGGGGUAAUGGCCUACCAAGGCGACGACGGGUAGCCGGCCUGAGAGGGUGACCGGCCACACUGGGACUGGGAUACGGACCAGACUCCUACGGGAGGCAGCAGUGGGGAAUACUGCUCAAUGGGCGCAAGCCUGAUGCAGCGACGCCGCGUGAGGGAUGACGGCCUUCGGGUUGUAAACCUCUUUCAGCACAGACGAAGCGCAAGUGACGGUAUGUGCAGAAGAAGGACCGGCCAACUACGUGCCAGCAGCCGCGGUAA